AGAACGUAGACAGCAGAAGGUCAGGCAGAAGAGAGGCAGGCCUGUCUCCUUAAGGCCCAAACGCUGAGGGCUCACACCUGCUGUCCAUCCUGCUCUUUAUAAGGCACACCUUGGCUGCAGCUUGUUGCUGACUGCAACAUCAGGCGUGGCUUUGUGUAGACCUAGUUUCCCUGCAGCAUCUCUUUGACUGACCUCCUUGGCAAUUGAUCCCGGACCUCCACUGACCUCGCUUCUAGACUUCUGACUCGGCAAUGAGAUAAAGCUGGCAGAUACAUCUGGAGAGACGGCAGCUGAAGAAGGCGGACAAACAUCUAAAACCCUCUUCCAAAGAUGCCGCCACCACCCACACUGAGCUGCCCAGAGGAAAGAGACCUACCCCAGAAACAGCCGCCUUGGGCUGCCUUUGGGGAAGAAAGGCAGUGGCUCCCCAGAAUUUCAGGCACGCUCUAUCUGAAGAUUGAAUCUGGGACCUUCUGCAUUAUGCAAAGAAGAGGCUCUGCCACUGAGCUUCCCCUAAUGUCUCUAGCCCAGAGGAGAGUGGGACUGUGUGUGGGGGCAUUAUCUUACCUGUGCUAUUCCUGGGAGAUCGAGAAAAACCAUCGCCAAUCUGGACCUGCACACUGCCAACAUGGCCAUCAGGCAAGAGGUCAGAUGGGCUGUGUCCUGGCUGCUUCAGUAGAUCGGUGAGCGUUCUAGAAAAGAGCCACCAAGAUCAUGUCUAGCAGCCCUACAGCUUCAAUAAGAAUGUGACAGACUCUGCUAUUACAAUCAAGAAGUACAGGACUGAAUGGAAGGAACAUUGAGGUCAUCCAGCUCCACCCCCAAUCUACAUUUUGAGAGGUAGUGUGUAGCUUUUUCCUCAGAUAGCAGUCAACCUGGAAGGUGUAUGUCCUGUUUAUGGGGGAAGAAUGUUUUGUCUCUCCCUUGGCAAUCACUUGUGCCACCUGAAGAAGACUGCUUCACGUUUUGAUAGUCUUGGCUUUAUAGCAAUAUUUUCCCAUUAAAAUAGCUCAAGCAACUACCUCCCGGUUUUCUUUUGCCAAUUAGUAAAGAAAUGUUUAUUCCAGCAGAUUUAUAUGCCCACUGAGGUCAUUUUUUAAAAAAGCCUCUGGUCGCUUCCAUUGUUGAUUUUAAAUGGAUCUUUAAUGUUAUGUAUUUUACGUAUUUAUGUUAUGUUUUUGUUGUCUCUGUUAAUGUAUUU